rnacentral:precursor_RNA from 14 species
UAGAGAUGCAUCUUGGUCUGGUUGUAGAGAUACAGUGAUCAGGUUACGAUGAUUUCUCAAGUAACAACCUCGUAGCUUGAUCACAAUAUCCCUAUGACUUAGAUAACAACAUAUUUAACC